CCACAUCUUCACCCAGCAUCACUCUCUCUGACCUGCAAGGUGGUACUCAGUACUCUGUCACUGUCUGCACUGUGCUGGAGAAUGGAAAGCAAAGUCAACUGGUGUCAACAACCCUCACCACAGUACAUUUUCAGUGGUGGAAGAGACCCUCCAGAGUUGCUGCAGGUGUGUUCUACUGGCUGUGAUUCUGGCCUGUUGAAUUCCUGUGCACAGAGAGACAAGCUACAGAAUAGUCUAAAUACCAGGACCACUGAGAAAGACCAGCUACAGAAUAGUUCUAAAUACCAGGACCACUGAGAGAGACCAGUUGC